UACGAGGGGGGCAAGCGUUGUUCGGAUUCAUUGGGCGUAAAGGGUGCGUAGGUGGCGCUGUAAGUCGGGUGUGAAAUUUCGGAGCUUAACUCCGAAACUGCAUUCGAUACUGCGGUGCUUGAGGACUGGAGAGGAGACUGGAAUUCAUGGUGUAGCAGUGAAAUGCGUAGAGAUCAUGAGGAAGACCAGUGGCGAAGGCGGGUCUCUGGACAGUUCCUGACACUGAGGCACGAAGGCCAGGGGAGCAAACGGG
rnacentral:rRNA from 1 species